rnacentral:tRNA from 1 species
GGGCGGGUAGCUCAGGUGGGAGAGCGCCGUGCUGAUAACGCGGAGGUCGGAGGUUCGACUCCUCCCCCGCCCA